UUUUAUAUUUAAAGUCUAACCUGCCCGAUGAAUUUUCAAUGGCCGCAGUAUUUUGACUGUGCAAAGGUAGCAUAAUCAUUAGUUUCUUAAUUAGGAACUUGUAUGAAUGGUUGGAUGAGAAAUUAAUUGUCUCUUAUUAAAUUUAAUAGAAUUUUAUUUUUAAGUUAAAAAGCUUAAAUUUUAAUUAAAGACGAGAAGACCCUAUAGAGUUUAAUAAAUUAAUUUUAAAUUAUUUAAAGUAUUAAUAUUUUUAAUUGUAAAUUUAUUUUAUUGGGGUGAUAUAAAAAUUUAAUGAACUUUUUUUUAUUUAAAACAAUAAUAAAUGAUUUUUUGAUCCAUAUUUUUUGAUUAUAAGUUUAAAUUACCUUAGGGAUAACAGCGUAAUUUUUUUGAAGAGUUCUAAUCGAUAAAAAAGUUUGCGACCUCGAUGUUGGAUUAAAAUUAAUUAUUGGCGUAGUAGUUAAUAAAUUAAGUCUGUUCGACUUUUAAAAUUUUACAUGAUCUGAGUUUAAACCGGUGUGAGCCAGGUUGGCUUCUAUCUUAAUUUAUUUAUAAUAUUUUAGUACGAAAGGACCAAUUAUUAAUAAAAGUUAUUUUAAUUGAAUUAAAUUGUUAUUUUGGCAGAUUAGUGCGUUAAAUUUAGAAUUUAAUUAUGUAUGUAUAUACAAAUAAUACUUGAUUUUUUUAGAUAGUUUUUUAUUAUUUAUUAGAGGUUUAAUUUUAAUUAUUUGUGUUUUAGUAGG
rnacentral:rRNA from 1 species